UGCCAGGAAUUCCUCUCCCUGUCUGGACUUGGUGUUUGGCUUCCCCAGCCUGAGCCCUGCCUGGCACCGGACACUGGGUGCCCUCGGUCUCCCCGUGGCACCCCUGGGUGGUGCCCACUCCAGCGAUGGAAACGAACAGUGAACAAACAAGCCCCUGAAUUCAGGGUCCAUCUGAGUGAAGCUACUCGAUCUUAGUAGAUGAAGCUGGCACAUCCAGAGCAGGGAAAUUGAGAAAUUUCAGCAAGUCCAGGCAAGCCCACGGCGAGCGGCUGCCCUGGAAAAACCUGCUGGGUUGUUUUGCCCCAACUCUGAGUCUGGAGGUUCCUGUUCCUGAGAAGCGAAGACUCCCCAGGUUGGUGAGCGUCCACCGGGGCCGCCCGUGGCGCGAGAGAGGGACGGGAGGUCCCUGCCUGCUCCUGCCCCGGUGCUCGCUCACCCCUCCAGGCCUUCCUGCAGCUGGGGACUGAGGUUGGGAUCAGUCUCUGGGGGUCGGGUGGUGGGAGCCGGGCAGGAGUGCCGGCCUCAUCACGGCAGCCCAGACCUGGGUAGUCUAGAUUCCUGGCAGGAGAGGCCACCGGGUCCAGCCAGACGGCAGGCUUCACUCGGCUGGAAAGAAGGAGCUCGGAGCCCGGAGACCCAGGACCUCACAGGCAGGCUGCCGAGAGGGAGGAGCAGGGCUGCAGGCGGGGGCCGGGGGCGGGCAGGCGGGGCCUGGAGGACUUCUAGGGCCCUGGAAUGCCUGGUCUGUGUGGGGACAGGUGUCGUCGGGUUACCAGACCCGGCAGCGUGCGUGCCGGGAGAGACCCUGGAGUAUGCUCACGAGUGGGCGGAAGACUGUGUCCACAGAACUCAGCCCGGAAGGCCGGGCACAGGGACGCCUCCUACUCCGCCCUACUUUUCUGUAAAUUUAAAACUGCUCAAAAAAUAAAGCCUCCAAGAAAGGGGUGCUGGUGAGGCCCAGUGCUGGGCUCUCCCGGCAUGGACGAGCCCCAGGCAGCGGCGUCGGGUGGCUGCCCUAGGUGGCUGUCCAUGGCCGGCAGCCCUGCACCCCGGGGGGCACCGGCUCCACCCUCUGCCCGGCUCCCUGCUGCUGAGGAAGCACAGGUGGGACUCCUGAGCAGCCCAGGAGGGGAGGUGCGGCCACAUGGCCACUUCAGGUGGCUUUUACCCACAGGGCCAGCCCUUCACCGUCUGCUGGCCACAUCGCAGGAGGGGAGGUGUCCGCCUCUGCUGUUCCCUGUGGGAUCCUUCAUCCUGCCGGGACUUGCUGACCAGGGCCGCUCGGUAGCACCUGGAGAACUUCCCGUGGUCCCCAGUGGGGCUGCGUGACAGUGUCCAGCUGCCAGGCGGCCAGGUCUGGGCUCCCGGGCUCCGGCUGACACUCCAGUUCCAGCCCCUUCCAGCCGCCUAAGUGCAGUUGGGGUCCAGGUGCCUGGAAGUCGCCUGCCGGGAAUCCACUGCCAGCCCCGCGCCCGCCGCCUGCCCUGCAAGAGCCCUGCUCGCCUCCCAGCGGGUCCUGGGCUCCCGGGGGUCCACCCUGACCUGGCCCCCACCCACACUCUGCAUGGUGGCUGGACCCCGGCCUUGGGUCCCAAGGGCCAGACGCAGGCAGCCGUUCUCUGUGGCUCCCAGAACUUCUCACAGCAGCUGAUGGAGUCUCAGCGCAGACAACCACAGCCGGGUCCCGUCCUCUCAUGGAGGACGCUCCAGCCGUGGGCAGGAGCUGGGGAGG